AGUCAACAUUAGAUUGGAUUAGUAGAUCGGACCAGAAUGGAUUAGAUUGGGUAGGAUUUGAUUGGAUUAGAUAACGUUAGAUUAUAUUGGAAUACAUUGUCUUGGGUUGGAUUAGACUGCAUUAGAUUGGAUAGAUUAGUACGGAUUAGGUUAUAUUUAAUUAAUGACCAUACAUAAAUUGAUGAAUUCAUGAGAAAAGAGUGACAUCAAGAUGGUUCCUUGUUCUCCUGUAGGGGGACCGUGGAGAGGCUAACCCAGGACCGAGGGGCCCCCCUGGGCCGCCCGGACCCCCGGGACCCGGGUCUGCGGACCACCCGGUACAUGUGCUAUAACAGGGCCUGAAGGUUUCACAUUCACCGCUAAAGCCAAGCUAGAGCCCCAUGAUUCUGUAGCUGUGCAGGAUCUAGUGUAACAGCUUUCAGAUCGUCAUCUAAUGACAACAAAGUUUUGAGUACUUUAAGACCAUAGAACCUUUGUAAGAUAAGAUAAAACAUAAAAAUCCCCCGGAGGGGAAAUUCCUGUGUUUGCAGCACAGCAGCAGUGGAAGGCACAGGAUAUAAUAAAAUACAAUACAAAUACAAAGUAGUCAUGAGGGAAACAAAAAGUGAUAAAGUAAAUAGUAAAGUAAGGAAAACAAACAGGGCAAACAGUAUAAACAGUACAAAUUAUAAAGUCAGCCCAGUGUGAGUAAUUUAUCACAACAGUGCUUUAAUCAAGGUAUAACUGUCAUCUUUUUACUGUUCAGACGUACGUUGACAUGGAAGGUUCCGGGUACCCCGACGUGGAGAAAAUGCGGGUACGUUGAUCAUCAAAAUCUGUAACUUUGUGUGAUCAAAAUAGACGUCAAGACAUAAAUAUUACAGAGAAGAUGGUGUGAGUUACCUGGUCCAUGUUGGGUCCUACCAGGGUCUACGUGGUUUACCCGGACCACCGGGGCCUCCUGGACCACCUGGGAUAUCGGUGGAGAUGGGGGUCAACGGGCCGGUAGCGUUCGGACCCCCAGGACCCCCAGGCAGCGACGGAGCUCCAGGUGUACCUGGGCCCCCUGGUCCCCCAGGACCCUCGGGCCGGAAUGGAGCCCCAGGACGUCAGGGAGACAGCGGGGAGCUCGGACUCCCAGGGGGCUCUGGGCAGAAACAGGAGUCGGUUGGCUCCAGCUUGUUUACCGGGCUUCUGUCUUACUUUACGCCUUCCUUGAGGUCUAGCGACGUGCAGGUAUCAGGGGUCUCAGCUUCAGUGGUGUCUAUGCCUAAACGCCUGCCAUAAGACGUCUGUCUCUUGCCAAUGAAGCCUGCUGCUAAAUGCUCACUAGUUUUUCCAUGCUCCGUCGAUUGCUCGGAAGCGGUUGCUAGAUUAUGCCCACCAUCCAUUUUCUUGUUCUUUUGAUUAACCAGAAUAAUGGAUUUGCUACGUUAUUAUUUAUCAGUAAUUAUCGUUUCUUCUCCGAUUCUGUGGUCUGUCUGCGAAAGAUGAGGCAUUAAUACAAUAUUAUUGUAUUAAUCAUUGUGGAAUAUCGUAUGAUCUUCUAACUCUGGAAUUGUCCUUGGCCUUGACUCAGAAACUCUUUAUUCUUUAACAUUAGUUCCUUCCAACAUGUGUUCCAAAUUAUUUUCACGCUCCACUUUUAAUCACUUACUCUUUCACUUCAUCAACAUUAAACACCAUUUGUUUAGAUUGUUCGAAUUUUUUUAAAUUGCCAAAAACAUCCUAAGCCACCUUUCCCCUGUAACACGACAUGUACCAACACCCCCGUCGUCAUCCCCCAGUGUCUCCCAGCGCACUGACCCCUAACAGCUAACGGCCACACUUCUCGUAGGGCACCCAGGGUAACCCGGGACUGGAGGGCCAACCUGGAGAGGGGGGGCUGGCUGGACUGCCUGGGCCGAUGGGACCUGUUGGACCGGCCGGACCACCCGGUCCUGCGGGUUCCCCCUGCAGUCUUGGCCGGGUGAGUACGACUCCCACACACAGAAGCAGUAAUGGAUGGUGGAUGGAUGAUGGAUAAAGACAGCAGAUGAUAGAUGGUUGAUGAAUGGAUGGGGGGCUAGAUCAUAGAUGGGGGGAUGAAUGGGUGUAUGGCUGGAUAGAUAGUAUUAGAUUGACAUUCAUGGGAUUUGAUUAAUGCCAAGUCACCAAUUCCAAAGGCUCCAUGACAGUAUUCCGUCCACUCUCAUAGGCUGUGCCCCGGCGGGAGUAGGAGGGGUUUGGCAGUGCCGAUAGUAUGAUAGUAUCUCAUAAACAAAGGAAGAUGUCCAGACGGGCAAGCAUUUUCUAAUAUGUGAUCAGUUAUAGGAUGUGAUUUUAUGGAUAACAUUAUUCCAAUCACUAUCGCUGAGCAUCGAAUAAAGAUAGGUCCAGGUGGUUUAUAGGAGCUAGUUGAAAUGUUGCAUGAUGACGGAUCCAUGAUGGAUAGAUGAAUACAUGAAAAGCUGGAUAGAUGUAUGGCUGAACGGACAGAUCAGUAAUUAGAAGGAUGUCCAGUGUGGCUGGAUAGGUCUAGUGUGGCUGGAUAGGUCCAGCCUCCACAGACUAGCUGAUCAGUGAUCAGUCCUUAUAGACCGACUAGUGUAUUAACUCCUAUCUCCCCUACCUGUAGGGUGGUCAGGGAGGGGAUUCUUUCACCUGUUCGCCAGGACAGCAGGGUCCACCCGGACCUCAGGUGAGGGGACGCCAGGGGCAGGCCGUGUGCAUCUUGUGCCGUGUUCCUAUUGGUUCACUCUGCCCGAUACACUGCACUAUUUGGGCCAUCACUAUUUUGUACUUGCUGUUCAAAAUUUGAGUGUACAAUUCCGGUUUGCUAUAUAGUGCACAACUAAAUACACAUAAUGCACAUAAUGCACUGUAAAAAAAUAAAGCACUUAUUUCCACAAUGUAUAUCCCAUGAUGCAUAGCGCUUUUCAUCUUCAUCUGAAUCAUGUUGUAGGCAGAGGGACAUUGGUGCUUCUUUGACUUCUGUUCUUGGUUAAUCAAAUUGGGUCUGGGAUUAAUAAAGUUCCUCCUGUAUUAUUUCUAGUGUUGUUUCUCUCUGUGAUCUUACUGAUUGUCUACCGUGUUGUGGUUUUAGGGUCCUGCUGGUAUCGGUGGUCUGCCUGUAAGUAAUACAGCCCCUCAAAGCCAGGGAUCUUCUCGAUGUCUUCUGUUGUUUUGAUACACUGAUUGUCCCUCCAUGAAUG
ensembl:lncRNA